CGUUUUUGUAUUGCAAGAUGAAAGCAGAUCUUUAGACAUUCGCCCCCUUGCCCCUCUCUUUUGUGUCUUAAAUUUAGUCAACUAAUACAAAUAUGAUAAAUAUAACCAUAUCGGGUUAUUCCGUCUUAAUGAAGGGCCCUAACCGUAUCAGGAGAGAUUAUUACAGAGAUGGCGGCUGCAUUCUCUUUCAAGAUAGAUCGAUAUACAAGUAUGUUUGAAGUUUUGAUUUUUCCCUUUAAUUUGAUGAAUAACAUUUCCUUGAGUCUCUUAAAAAAUAAUAAAACAGAUGAGAUAAAUUUGAUAGAGUCUUCCUUGUUACUAUGUAUUUUUUAUACAUUUAUUUUCAUAAAGUAAGAAUACAGUAACGUAAAGAGGAAUAUGGUAACAAAAGAUUGCGAAUCAUGAGUGUGAACAUGCCACCUCUGUGAGGUGGAGACGAAGUGACUGCUCUUGAAAUCGGCAUUCAUACACCCACUCCCCUGCAGCCAGGCUUACCAAACAGGUCACGUGAUUGCGCUUAAAAGCAAUCACUCACUCCACUAGAUACAACCACUCGGUCCAUACGAGUCACGUGAUUGCACCUAAAAAGCAACCACUCACUCCGCUAGAUACAACCACUCGGUCCAUACGAGUCACGUGAUUGCCCUUAUAAGCAACCACUCACUCCACUAGAUACAACCACUCGGUCCAUACGAGUCACGUGAUUGCACCUAAAAAGCAACCACUCACUCCGCUAGAUACAACCACUCGGUCCAUACGAGUCACGUGAUUGCCCUUAUAAGCAACCACUCACUCCACUAGAUACAACCACUCGGUCCAUACGAGUCACGUGAUUGCACCUAAAAAGCAACCACU